UUUCAACAUAUGGGUCUUAGAGAAAUUCAAGAGCUAACAGAUACCACACCAGAGGAAUUAACAGAAGACAAGGUGGAGAUAGAUGCUUCUGAACCACUGCCAGACAGUGAGAAAGAUGCAGAACAGUGCCAGAAAACAAACUGACAUUAGACAAUCUGGCAGAACGGUUCUGAAUAUACAAGACUACUCUUGACUUCUUUUACGACAUGGACCCUUCUAUGAUACAGGUACUGGAAUCAAAGCAAAUGGUUGAGGAAGGGUUGAUACUGUAUAGAAACAUUUUAAAAGAAAUUAGAAACCAAAAGAGAUAGACAGAAAUUACCUGUUUAGUUACACCCAGUGUGCCUAACCUGUCUUGUCUCCCCUUCUACCUCCUCCACCUCUUCUACCCCUAGGCAACAAGAUCAACCCCUCCUCUUCCUCCUCAGCCUACUCAACAGGAAGACAAGUAGGAUGCAGACCUUUACAAUGAGCCACUUCAACUUAAUGAAUACAGGUCAAGUCAUGUUACUCAACCCAGACGCCCUAAGGAAAGGGAAGAGUUCAAGAUCAAUAACAAGAAGGGGUUCCGAGUGGCACCAUCACAUAUUCAUUUACUGUCAGCUCAUUAAUACACAAUAUGGUGGCAGAAGAAAACACCGAAAACAAUACCACUACCCCACUCCCUUUAUUAGAAAAAAGUUAAAAUACAAAUUCUAUUACUGUUUACCUAGGACCUAACUUCACACGGCUGACAUUUCUCAAAGAUAGGUCAUAGGAUCCCCAUUCCAGAAAGGGUGCUGUUCCAUACCCGGAAGGAAAGAAUGCUGCACAGAGAGGCCAAGAAGAAUCUAUACAGACAGGCAGGCCUUGCUGGGUUUCCCCACUCAGUAUAUGGCUGUCCAGACUUUGCUGAACCUAAGCAUACCAAUGGGCAGUUUUCUCCUAUAUCUUUAGGUCUUUAUUCUGAAGGCUCCCAUGUCACGUAACACCAAGAUCAAAUAAAAUCAUAUGCCCUUUCUCCUAUUAAUCUGCCUUUUUUCAGCUGAUUUUCAAAGAACCUUCAGAGGCUGAAAGGGAAGUUUUUUCUUGGCCCCUACAAUAUGCUACAACUCCAGUAAGUUAAUUAGUAAAUAUUAAACUAUUUUUGGAAGGAAAAAAAACUGAAAAUAACAUUGCUUUAGAGAUAAAUUAUUUAAGAAUUGCUAGAAAUUACCCUAGAAAUUAUCCUAGAAAAAUCUUAAAAUUUUCCCUAAAAACUUUUAGGAAUAAUACAUUGUUUCUAAUGAGACCCUUCAGCUUAUGCAAAAAGCACAGGAGACUAAAUUCUAGAGUCAACGAAACGAUAUUCUCCAAUUCUGUUUUGCUAAUGAAUAUGUUGUCCAUCCCCCC
rnacentral:lncRNA from 1 species